GGCUUUUGUGGGGGUCCUGCUUCCUCCUGACCUGGCAUACAAGAUGGUCUCGCUUCUCGAGUCUCUCGUGGAAGAGCUGACUGCCAUGAAGAUGGAGGCCCUGACUGACCCAAGCAGUCCUCCCAGAUUCUUUGAUGAGCCAGUUUCGUCGAUCUGCCCCCUUCAGCCUGCAGGUGUCUGAGGGCAUAGUAGCAGGCUCGGAGGCUCUGUCCCAGGGCUUGACGAUGGGUGCCAUGUUCACUGGUGAGGCUUUCAAAAUGGGCACAGCGCAGCUCAAGCAGUACCUCAAGCCAGACGCCCAGCCAGUGGUUGUGGACCCCAGAGUGAAGCAAGGGCUCGAGGUCCUGUGUACCAUCACGGGUUCAGUGCGCAGUGUCACAGAACGUGUCGCGAACAAGAUGGGUGAGCUGGCGAUGACAGUGGCACAGAUGGUGGCCACGAAUGUGUCCGGUGACACUAGUGCGACUGGCGCACCAGAAGUGCCUUCCACAAGCAGGGACAACAUGCAGAGCGCAAUCACCAUUGCCAAGGGGGGCCUACAAGGUUUGUCCACUGUGUAUGUUGGCUUGGGAAAUGCAGCCAAGAUCUUGGCUACCAGCCUUGCCAGUGAGACAGUCGAGGUUAUUGGCCACAAGUAUGGAACAGAUGCUGCACAAGCAGUGGAUAGUGCCAUGAACUCCGUCACCAAUGUCACGAUGACCACAACCGCAGUCCACGGUUUAGGGUUGAAGCGGAUUGCGGAACACACUGCGAAAGAGACAGGAAAAGCAAUUCUUGAGGAAUAUUAGCAGCCUUGAGGCUCAAGGAACUUUUCGUGAGAGUGCAGCCGUAUGAAAGAACCUAGAAAUGCAAAAGUCAUAUAAAAUGGUAUUGUUUUUCAUAGACCUGUUUCAUCACAACUGCCAAGAAGGAAAAAUGCAGUUGUUGCGGAAGUUAUCACAAUGUUUUUGUUUUAAUUAGUUGCACAGGAAAUUGUCAUUUGCCUUGUAGUUCUCGUUGAGUUCCUUGAGAAGCAUACAUGAAAUGUCUACGCAGUGCAUUAGACUAUUGUUGCACAAGUUUUGCUUGUGUCUGUUAAAGCUUAAUGCCACACACAAUUUGGGAUGUGGCUUUUAGUCCUCCUUGUGUUGUUGCUUCACAUCUGCCCUUCAACUGAAACAAAAGGAAUCUCGAGAAGCACAAAGCAUUUCAGAGAUUACCAAAUGGACGAGGAUGACCAAAUGGACUUUUGGCCCAUCCACUCUCGCUCCUGGGGUGUACUAGUACUUGCAUAAAAAGAAGUGAUGUGCUUUAAUUAUGGAGUAAUAUGUGUAUAUUGUAUUUAACAAAUACAAAUGGUUAUUUCAAGCGAAAUGACAGAGCGUGCUGUUGUACAGAUGUAUUUCUAAAAAUAAACAUUAUUUCAACUUAGU